CUCUCUCUCUCUCUCUCUCUCUCUCUCACUUCGUGAAACUCCAUUUCUGCUAGCUUUUCUCACUCGACCUCAAUUCAUCCCCACCGAAUCGUCUCUCUUCCUAAGAUCUUUACCUUCCGUUCGGAACAUCUCUCUCGAUCGAGGUAAGUAUCAUUAAAAUCGGUGAUCCGACGCUCCGAAUCGAGGAUAUGGAGAAAUCGGAGGCCGAAUUGCGGAUCUGUGUUGAGAAGCUGCGGCAGAACGUUGAGGAGCGGGAUGAGAUGAUCCGGUUCAUGUCAGGAAGGUGGAUGAUGAGGAGGAUGUGAAGGAAGCAGAGAUCCGUGGGCACGAAUCGAAGAGCAGGGCCACGGUUGGCAGGAAUGUGGAAGAAGGCGGCGAUUUAGGGGAGUAUUGCAUGGAUUUUUCGAGGAUUGGGAGAAUUAGGGUUUCGCUGGGGUCUAAGCACACCUUCCUCGCCUUCUCUCCCAGUUCCUGAAAGGAAUUUAGUAGAUCCGUCCAGCGGGCUGUCUAAGCUGGAUCAGCCAAAAAAGCUACUGGGAUCACUAUCUGGAUCGGAUCAACUGAAAAGGUCACCAGCAUCAUUGCCCGGGUUGGAUCCACCAAAAAAGCCACCUGAAUUGCCAAACACGGUAGUUCUGAGGAAGCCGCUAUCUCCAUUAACUUACAAGGACUAUUUUGCUGCUUUGCUCUAUUCUGAGGACUACCACCUUGAGUGGUAUGCCAGAGUGUAAGCUUGAACUGAAUGACAGAGUGCUUUUGGAGGCUCAAGGUCGAAUAACAAAGGGAAAAGCCAUUGAUCUGGAUGAUAUCAAGUUUCAUCAGUGUGUGCGUUUGGCCCGUUUUGAAAAUGACAGGACAAUAUCCUUCAUUUCGUCCGAUGGAUCCUUUGAUUUGAUGACCUACAGACCCAGUACUCAGGUUUAUGUUUUGCUUCUGCAAUGUAUAUUGGUUAAUGCUGCUACUACCGCCAACCCAGUUUCAGAACUUACAAUGUUUAUUGAGGCUAAUUCCAUCUUCGGUUUCAGGUCAAACCUUUGACCUAGGUGGAAGCUCAAGUUGAAAGGCAUUCGAGAAGUCGUAUAGAGAUCAUGGUAAAGGCGAGGAGUAAGUUCAAGGAGCGCAGCACAGCUACAAAUGUGGAGAUUGAGCUGCCUGUACCUGCAGAUGCAACAACCCCCAAUAUAAGGACUUCCAUGGGUUUUGCAGCAUACGCACCUGAAAAUGAUGUGUUGCACUGGAAAAUAAAAUCUUUUCCUGGUGGCAAGGUUUAAUGCUAAACUCCCCUUUUUCCAACUGCUGGCUGUUAGUGUUUAAGGUUGGUCUCUUGACAUGUUUUAAACUGAUCAAUUAGGAAUAUAUGCUAAGAGCAGAAUUUAGUCUUCCCAGUAUACCUUUUUACAUCAUGGGAUAAGACAGAGCAUCACUUCACUUUUCUCACAUUUUGUCAAAGGUGUGAAGGAGCUUGAGGCAAAAUGGAUUGGAUGGGCUGGUCUCUGUGUUCUGGAUGAAAUUGGGCAGUGAUCACUUACCAAAGCACUAGCAGAAAAGGUUAGUGAGAUGUAAUUUUCAUUAUUAACUUGUCUUUGGCCUUGAAUUUAUAAAUAUAUUGGCUGUUUCGCUUUUGAUCUAGCAUUAAGAGUUUGAUACCUUAGUUUUAUGGGUUGACAUAGAUUUUCCUCUGUGAAGAGUCAAUGUUAACAUUUCUGGUCUUGGAUUGCCUUAUGAAGUGUGUUUCACUCAUUGCAAACAGAAAUGCGUUCCAAUC